GAAAAGAGAAGAGUUCGACCUCAAUUGAACGAUGACGAGUUGCUAUUUCGAUAAAGUUCAAAAAACACCCUUUAAGGCCAAGGGACUUCGUCAAAAAGAGAAAAGUUCGACCUCGAUCGAACGAUGACGGGCUACUAUUUUGAUAAGUUCGAAAUAACACACUUUUAGGCCAAGGGACUUCGCCAAAAAGAGAAGAGUUUGACUUCGAUCGAACGAUAACAGGUUACUAUUUCGAUAAGUUCAAAAUAACACCCUUUAAGGCCAAGGGCCUUCUCUAACAAGAGGAGAGUUCGAUUUUGAUCGAACGAUGAUGGUUACUAUUUUGAUAAGUUUGAAAUAAAACCCUUUAAGGCCUAGGGCCUUCGCCAAAAAGAGAAGAGUUCGACCUCGAUUGAACGACGACGGGUUACUAUUUCGAUGAAGUUCGAAAUAAUACACUUUAAUGCCUGGGGCCUACGCAAAAAAAAAGAAGAGUUCGACCUCGAUCGAACGAUGAUGGGCUACUAUUUCGAUAAGUUCGAAAUAACACACUUUUAGGCCAAGGGACUUCGCCAAAAAGAGAAGAGUUUGACUUCGAUCGAACGAUGACGGGUUACUAUUUCGAUAAAGUUCAAAAUAAGAUACUUUAAGGCCAAGGGCCUUCUCUAACAAGAGGAGAGUUCGAUUUUUAUCGAACGACAACGGUUACUAUUUCGAUAAGUUUGAAAUAACACCCUUUAAGGCCUUGGGCCUUCUCCAAAAAGAUAAGAGUUCGACCUCGAUCGAACGAUGACGGGUUACUAUUUUGAUAAAGUUUAAAAUAACACUCUUUUAGGCCAAGGGCCUUCGCCAAAAAGAGAAGUGUUCGACCUCGAUUGAACGAUGACGGGUUACUAUUUCGAUAAGUUCGAAAAAACACCCUUUAAGGCCAAGGGCCUUCAUCAAAAAGAGAAGAGUUCGACCUCUAUCGAACGAUGAUAAGUUACUAUUUCGAUAAGUUCGAAAUAACACACUUAAAGGCCAAGGGCCUUCUCCGAAAAAAGAAGAGUUUGACCUCGAUUGAACGACGACGGGUUACUAUUUCGAUAAAGUUUGAAAUAACACCCUUUAAGGCCAAGGGCCUUCUUCGAAAAGAGAAGAGUUCGACCUUGAUUGAACGAUGACGGGUUACUAUUUCGAUGAAGUUCAAAAAAUACCCUUUAAGGCUAAGGGACUUCGCCAAAAAGAGAAAGGUUCGACCUCGAUCGAACGAUGACGGGUUACUAUUUCGAUAAGUUCGAAAUAACACACUUUUAGGCCAAGGGCCUUCGCCAAAAAGAGAAGAGUUUGACCUCGAUCGAACGAUGACGGGUUACUAUUUCGAUAAAGUUCGAAAUAACACACUUUAAGGCUAAGGGCCUUUGCCGAAAAGAGAAGAGUUUGACCUCGAUCGAACGAUGACGGGUUACUAUUCCGAUAAAGUUCGAAAAAACACCCUUUAAGGCCAAGGGACUUCGCCAAAAAGAGAAAAGUUCGACCUCGAUCGAACGAUGACGGGCUACUAUUUCGAUAAGUUCGAAAUAACACACUUUUAGGCCAAGGGACUUUGCCGAAAAGAGAAGAGUUUGACUUCGAUCGAACGAUGACGGGUUACUAUUUCGAUAAGUUCAAAAUAACACCCGUUAAGGCCAAGGGCCUUCUCUAACAAGAGGAGAGUUUGAUUUUGAUCGAACGAUGAUGGGUACUAUUUCGAUAAGUUUGAAAUAACACCCUUUAAGGCCUAGGGCCUUCACUAAAAAGAGAAGAGUUCGACCUCUAUCGAACGAUGACGGGUUACUAUUUUGAUAGGUUCAAAAUAACACUCUUUUAGGCCAAGGGCCUUCGCCAAAAAGAGAAGAGUUUGACUUUGAUCUAACGACGAUGGGUUACUAUUUCGAUAAGUUUGAAAUAAUACACUUUAAUGCCUGGGGCCUACGCAAAAAAGAGAAGAGUUUGACCUCGAUCGAAUGACUAUGGGUUAAUAUUUCGAAAAGUUCGAAAUAACACCCUUUAAGGCCAAGGGCCUUCGCCAAAAAGAGAAGAGUUUGACCUCGAUCGAACGACGACGGGUUACUAUUUCGAUAAGUUCGAAAUAACGGCUUUUAAGGCCUAGGGCCUUCACCAAAAAGAAAGGAGUUCGACCACGAUCGAACGACGACAGGUUACUAUUUCGAUAAGUUCGAAAUAACACCCUUUUAGGCCAAGGUCCUUCGCCAAAAAGGGAAGAGUUCGACCUCAAUCGAAUGACGACGGGCUACUAUUUUGAUAAAGUUUGAAAUAAUACCCUUUAAUGCCUAGGGCCUUCGCAAAAAAGAGAAGAGUUCGACCUAGAUCGAACGAUGACGGGUUACUAUUUCGAUAAGUUCGAAAUAACACCCUUUAAGGCCAAGGGCCUUCUCUAACAAGAGGAGAGUUCGAUUUUGAUCGAACGAUGAUGGUUACUAUUUCGAUAAGUUUGAAAUAACACCCUUUAAGGCCUAGGGCCUUCGCCAAAAAGAGAAGAGUUCGACCUCGAUUGAACGACGAUGGGUUACUAUUUCGAUGAAGUUCGAGAUAAUACACUUUAAUGCGUGGGGACUUCGCCAAAAAGAGAAGAGUUUGACUUCUAUCGAACGAUGACGGGUUACUAUUUUGAUAAGUUCAAAAUAACACUCUUUUAGGCCAAGGGCCUUCUCUAACAAGAGUAGAGUUUGAUUUUGAUCGAACGAUGGUGGUUACUAUUUCGAUAAGUUUGAAAUAACACCCUUUAAGGCCUAGGGCCUUCGCCAAAAAGAGAAGAGUUCGACCUCGAUUGAACGAAUAUGGGUUACUAUUUCGAUAAAGUUCGAAAUAAUACACUUUAAUGACUGGGGCCUACGCCAAAAAGAGAAGAGUUCUACUUCGAUCGAACGAUGACGGGUUACUAUUUUGAUAAGUUCGAAAUAACACACUUUUAGGCCAAGGGCCUUCGCCAAAAAGAGAAGAGUUUGACCUCGAUCGAACGACGACGAGCUACUAUUUCGAUAAAGUUUGAAAUUACACCCUUUACGACCAAGGGCCUUCGCCAAGAAGAGAAGAGUUCGUCCUCAAUCGAAUGACGACGAGUUACUAUUUCGAUAAAGUUCGAAAUAACACCCUUUAAGGCCAAGGGCCUUUGCAAAAAAAGAGGAGAGUUCGACCUAGAUCGAUCCAUGACGGUUUACUAUUUUGAUAAGUUCGAAAUAACACACUUUUAGGCCAAGGGCCUUCGCCAAAAAGAAAGAGUUUGAUCUCGAACGAACGACGACGGGUUACUAUUUCGAUAAAGUUCGAAAUAACACACUUUAAGGCUAAGGGCCUUCACCAAAAAGAGAAGAGUUCGAACUCGAUUGAACGACAACGAGCUACUAUUUCGAUAAAGUUCGAAAUAAUACCCUUUAAUGCCUAGGGCCUUCGCAAAAAAGAGAAGAGUUCGACCUAAAUCGAACGACGACAAGAUACUAUUUUGAUAAGUUCGAAAUAACACACUUUUAGGACAAGGGCCUUCGCCAAAAAGAGAAGAGUUUUACCUCGAUCGAACGAUGACUGGCUACUAUUUCGAUAAGUUCGAAAUAACAGCAUUUAAGGCCUAGGGCCUUCGCCAAAAAGAGAAGAGUUCGAUCUCGAUCGAACGAUGACGGGUUACUAUUUUGAUA
rnacentral:lncRNA from 1 species